GGAGGCCGUGCUGAGAUCUUUGGAGGGAGUGCUGUGCAGGAUGAAUGUGGAGGUCUGGCAGCAACAGGACAGCACAGCUACAAACAUCCACAAAUACACUUGAGAGUCUUCACACUGCAUACAUUCAGAUUACUUUUUUAAACCCAUUAAAAGAACACAGAGCCAUAGAUAUGUAAUUAAUGUACAUAAUAGUGAUAUUAAAAGGACAAUUCAGUAAAAAAAAAAAAAAAACCUUGAUGAAAAACAAAUCAUUUUAUGAUCAGAUCGUAUUAUAAAAUAAUCAUAAAAGUGGUCCGUUUGGUGUAAUGUUUGAUGCGCUCUUUUGGGCAGUGUUGUUUUUGUUAACUAAAACUAUUCAAAAUUAGUUUUGAAAAAAAAAAGUCAGAACAAAAUCACUAAAACUAAAAUUAAAUAAAAGUUUAAAUUGCCCCUAAUAUGCCAUUUCGAAUAUUGCCCUUUCAUGCAGUGUGUAAUGUAGCUGUCUGUGAAUGUAAACUAUCUGCAAAGUUGUGCAGCCGAUGGUAAAUAAAGUUAUUGUCUCUCUCUCCAAAAAUAAAUAAAUAAAUAAAAUAAAAAGAAUCGACUCUGAAUCCCCUAAUCCCCUUAUUUUUUUUUUUUUUUUUUUUUUUUGGUGAACUAUGCCAUUAAGUAUUUUUCUAUUGUUUUACAGUUUUCCCCUGCAGACUUUAAAGUGGGUGCAGAUAGAGGCAGCUUCCUCAGAUCCAGGUUCAACCUUGUUAAAACCCAGUUUGUAUUCUUUGACCCAAGGCUCCUGCUGUGCUAACAGUACAUGCUCUCAUCUGUCAGGUCAACAGCAGAGCACCAUUCCCUGUGUGAGUGAAGAGGAACUGGCCAAGUUUGUGUCUCUGACGCCUCUGUCCAAAACACUGCAGGAGAUAAAGGAAUCACUCCAGAUUCUCGCCCACACGCCCAAGACAGAGGACGUUAUUAUCAUCCCAGCAGAGAGUGAACUGUCGCACCUGUUCCCUGUUGCCCUUGACAACCUUUCCCCACAGCAUUUUGCUGUCUUCCUGUUUGGCUACCAUGUUGUGCAUUUUCUGAGCAGGGCUUGUUCCUUCCCCCCGUCAUGCUGCAAUUGGCCAGGACGGUGCCAGCCUCUCACUGUGAUAACCUGCUGGCCUGCUGCUAUAAAGUCUUUUAUUACUACACAGAAGCUUCAAAACGCUGGCCAGUUCUUCUCCGUUCUCUUACACUCAAUGACCUAUAUAACCUCAGGUGCUGUGUGUGGAAAGAGAAAUAAACAGACUUGA
ensembl:lncRNA